ensembl:rRNA 5S_rRNA 5S ribosomal RNA
GUCUCUCUGCAUACCACCCUGAACACCUGAUCUCGUCAGAUCUCAGAAGCUAAGCAGGGUCGGACCUAGUCAGUACUCAGGUGAAAGAGAGCACAUGGCACAAGGGCU